rnacentral:rRNA from 1 species
GAUGAACGCUGGCGGCGUGCUUAACACAUGCAAGUCGAACGGGAAACCUUUUAAUGAAGCUUCGGCAGAUUUAGCUGGUUUCUAGUGGCGGACGGGUGAGUAACGCGUGGGUAACCUGCCUUAUACAGGGGGAUAACAGUCAGAAAUGACUGCUAAUACCGCAUAAGCGCACAGGACCGCAUGGUCCGGUGUGAAAAACUCCGGUGGUAUAAGAUGGACCCGCGUUGGAUUAGCUUGUUGGUGGGGUAACGGCUCACCAAGGCGACGAUCCAUAGCCGGCCUGAGAGGGUGAACGGCCACAUUGGGACUGAGACACGGCCCAGACUCCUACGGGAGGCAGCAGUGGGGAAUAUUGCACAAUGGGGGAAACCCUGAUGCAGCGACGCCGCGUGAAGGAAGAAGUAUCUAGGUAUGUAAACUUCUAUCAGCAGGGAAGAUAGUGACGGUACCUGACUAAGAAGCCCCGGCUAACUACG